CAGAGUCGUUUCUCCUGUAGGUUCAUUACAAGAGCCGCGUUCCAAUCGGCAAGUGAUUCCCCUCGGAGUAAACUACACAGGGAGCAGGAUACACACUUUAAAGUGCACUGCGACACGGGGCCGAGACAUCGGCAAUCCAUUGCUCUUUCUGUAAUAGCCCGGAUGUUAAGACCUGAAUUUGAAGGCUCGUAUUUUUUCGAGCUGAAUAUUGAUGCCUGAAUUUUUUCAACACUUCACUGGGACCCAAGGGAACUAACAAAAAGUCAAUGUGUUUUCUUUCAUGUGGAUGAGAGCAAAGAAAGGACACUUCACUAAGUACUUUAACCUGUCAACAGUAGCAGCCUAAAUAUACACACUGUCCGAGUUUCUACGGGUUGUGUCCCUUUUGGCGUUCCAUGGGAUAUUCAAGUUAGGAGAGAGCGGAAUAAGCACGGCUAAAAAACAAAUCCCAAGCAUAAACUACAGGUUCAGCAGAGCUGUUUGGGAUUUAAACCGAAAAAGGUGAGA